CUCAGAACGAACGCUGGCGGCAGGCCUACCACAUGCAAGUCGAGCGGCCGUAGCAAUACGGCAGCGGCAGACGGGAGAGUAACACGUGGGAACGCGCCCUUCGGUUCGGGAUAACCCAGGGAAACUUGGGCUAAUACCGGAUACGCCCUUACGGGGAAAGAUUUAUUGCCGAAGGAACGGCCCGCGUCCGAUUAGCUAGUUGGUGGGGUAAUGGCCCACCAAGGCGACGAUCAGUAGCUGGUCUGAGAGGAUGAUCAGCCUCACUGGGACUGAGACACGGCCCAGACUCCUACGGGAGGCAGCAGUGGG
rnacentral:rRNA from 2 species